GGGGUUGUGGCUCAGAGUUAAAGUACAUGCCUACCAUGCAUGAGGCACUAAGUUCAAUCCUCAGCACCA
rnacentral:tRNA from 1 species